GACAGAGGGUGCAAACGUUGUUCGGAAUUACUGGGCGUAAAGCGCGUGUAGGCUGCCCUGCAAGUCGGAUGUGAAAGCCCUGGGCUCAACCUAGGAAGUGCACUCGAAACUGCAGGGCUGGAGUCCUGGAGAGGAAGGCGGAAUUCUCGGUGUAGAGGUGAAAUUCGUAGAUAUCGAGAGGAACACCGGUGGCGAAGGCGGCCUUCUGGACAGUGACUGACGCUGAGACGCGAAAGCGUGGGGAGCAAACAGG
rnacentral:rRNA from 1 species